UGAGGAACUUGCCCAUGAGCGGGGGACAACAUUCGGAAACGGAUGCUAAUACCCCAUAGGUGGAUUGGUCGCAUGACGAAUUCAUUAAAGGUGGCUUUGCUACCACUCAUGGAUAGCCUCGCGGCGUAUUAGCUAGUUGGUAAGGUAAUGGCUUACCAAGGCAGUGAUACGUAGCCAACUUGAGAGGGUGAUCGGCCACACUGGGACUGAGACACGGCCCAG
rnacentral:rRNA from 1 species